rnacentral:rRNA from 1 species
CCUGCCUGGGUGUCAC